UAGGUCCAAUGGCAGGAGUCAGGGACUGAGCUGGUGAGAUCUGGGGCCUCAGUAAUGAUGUCCUGCAAGGCUUCUGGAUACACAUUCAGUAACUACACUAUGCACUGGGUAAAGCAGAGUCAUGGAAAAGGCCAUGAAAGGAUUGGAUAUAUUGAUAAUUACUAUUGUAGCACUGACUACAGUGAAAAGUUCAAGAUCAAGGCCACAUUGACUGUAAACAAAUCCUGCAGAACAGCCUAUGUCAAGCUCAGCAGACUGACAUCUGAGGACUCUGCAGUCUAUUAUUGUGUAAGA